rnacentral:rRNA from 1 species
CAUGCAAGUCGAACGGAAAGGCCCUUCGGGGUACUCGAGUGGCGAACGGGUGAGUAACACGUGGGUGAUCUGCCCUGCACUUUGGGAUAAGCCUGGGAAACUGGGUCUAAUACCGAAUAGGACCACGCUCUUCAUGGGGUGUGGUGGAAAGCUUUUGCGGUGUGGGAUGGGCCCGCAGCCUAUCAGCUUGUUGGUGGGGUAAUGGCCUACCAAGGCGACGACGGGUAGCCGGCCUGAGAGGGUGACCGGCCACACUGGGACUGAGAUACGGCCCAGACUCCUACGGGAGGCAGCAGUGGGGAAUAUUGCACAAUGGGCGCAAGCCUGAUGCAGCGACGCCGCGUGAGGGAUGACGGCCUUCGGGUUGUAAACCUCUUUCAAUAGGGACGAAGCGCAAGUGACGGUACCUAUAGAAGAAGCACCGGCCAACUACGUGCCAGCAGCCGCGGUAAUACGUAGGGUGCGAGCGUUGUCCGGAAUUACUGGGCGUAAAGAGCUCGUAGGUGGUUUGUCGCGUUGUUCGUGAAAACUCACA